rnacentral:rRNA from 1 species
UACGUAGGGUGCGAGCGUUGUCCGGAAUUAUUGGGCGUAAAGAGCUUGUAGGCGGUUUGUCGCGUCUGCCGUGAAAAUUCGAGGCUCAACCUCGAACUUGCGGUGGGUACGGGCAGACUAGAGUGUGGUAGGGGAGACUGGAAUUCCUGGUGUAGCGGUGGAAUGCGCAGAUAUCAGGAGGAACACCGAUGGCGAAGGCAGAUCUCUGGGCCGUAACUGACGCUGAGGAGCGAAAGCAUGGGGAGCGAACAGG